AGAAGGAGAAGAAGACUGCACGCAUGCACAAUUGAAGCUGCUCCGUGAGACAAAGAAGGACGAAGGCUAACUACUUCCAGAAUCCCGAUUUUAAAGCAAUUUGGUGCGCCAUCCAUUUAUCACAAGUUGGCUGUUAUAAAGUUUCCAAACUGACCAAAGACCAAAGAAUGACUUCUGAAGAAGGGUGGAUUUAUUUGUAGUUUAGUUAAACAAUAAUUUGCCAUAGCAUAUUCAUGGGGAUACUGCAUGAAUUUUGAACAGAUCAAUAACCAGUAGUAAGUAUAGAAGGUCUGCUUGGAGCAUGUCUAACCAGAAGAGUGUGUGCAGACUAAGAAUAACUGACUAACUGUAUCAGGAUUCAUAAAUAACCCUUAGAUGCAGUAUUGAAAUGGUAAUAUUAUCUGAUUGUUUUCCAGAUGGCUCCUUCUUUUGUGGUCGUUGAGUUCCUUGGUGAACAUUCAGUCGCUGUUGUCCCAACCAAAUGGACAGAAGAUGAUGGAAAGAAUACCUUCUGCUGUUGGCCAAGGCCAAAUCCUAC